CCUACGGGAUGCAGCCGUGAGGAAUAUUGGUCAAUGGGCGCGAGCCUGAACCAGCCAAGUAGCGUGAAGGAUGACUGCCCUACGGGUUGUAACCUUCUUUUUUAAAGAAAUAAAGUGAGGCACGUGUGCCUUUUUGUCUGUACUUUAUGAAUAAGGAUCGGCUAACUCCGUGCCAGCAGCCGCGGUACUACGGAGGAUCCGAGCGUUAUCCGGAUUUAUUGGGUUUAAAGGGAGCGUAGAUGGGUUGUUAAGUCAGUUGUGAAAGUUUGCGGCUCAACCGUAAAAUUGCAAUUGAUACUGGCAGUCUUGAGUACAGUUGAGGUAGGCGGAAUUCGUGGUGUAGCGGUGAAAUGCUUAGAUAUCACGAAGAACUCCGAUUGCGAAGGCAGCUUACUAAACUGCCACUGACAUUGAUGCGCGAAAGUGUGGGGAUCAAACAGGAUUAGAUACCCCAGUAGUC
rnacentral:rRNA from 1 species